UGGGAGCACGCUUCGGCGUGUGACUGCGUACCUUUUGUAUAAUGGGUCAGCGACUUAUAUUCUGUAGCAAGGUUAACCGAAUAGGGGAGCCGAAGGGAAACCGAGUCUUAACUGGGCGUUAAGUUGCAGGGUAUAGACCCGAAACCCGGUGAUCUAGCCAUGGGCAGGUUGAAGGUUGGGUAACACUAACUGGAGGACCGAACCGACUAAUGUUGAAAAAUUAGCGGAUGACUUGUGGCUGGGGGUGAAAGGCCAAUCAAACCGGGAGAUAGCUGGUUCUCCCCGAAAGCUAUUUAGGUAGCGCCUCGUGAAUUCAUCUCCGGGGGUAGAGCACUGUUUCGGCAAGGGGGUCAUCCCGACUUACCAACCCGAUGCAAACUGCGAAUACCGGAGAAUGUUAUCACGGGAGACACACGGCGGGUGCUAACGUCCGUCGUGAAGAGGGAAACAACCCAGACCGCCAGCUAAGGUCCCAAAGUCAUGGUUAAGUGGGAAACGAUGUGGGAAGGCCCAGACAGCCAGGAUGUUGGCUUAGAAGCAGCCAUCAUUUAAAGAAAGCGUAAUAGCUCACUGGUCGAGUCGGCCUGCGCGGAAGAUGUAACGGGGCUAAACCAUGCACCGAAGCUGCGGCAGCGACACUAUGUGUUGUUGGGUAGGGGAGCGU
rnacentral:rRNA from 1 species